UACGUAGGUGGCAAGCGUUGUCCGGAAUUAUUGGGCGUAAAGGGUGCGUAGGCGGUUCGUUAAGUCUGUCGUGAAAUCCCCGGGCUCAACCUGGGAAUGGCGAUGGAUACUGGCGAGCUAGAGUGUGUCAGAGGAUGGUGGAAUUCCCGGUGUAGCGGUGAAAUGCGUAGAGAUCGGGAGGAACAUCAGUGGCGAAGGCGGCCAUCUGGGACAACACUGACGCUGAAGCACGAAAGCGUGGGGAGCAAACAGG
rnacentral:rRNA from 1 species